rnacentral:pre_miRNA from 1 species
UAUGCCUUCCAGCCAAACCGGUUUGGCUGGAAGGCAUAGUUUUUUUUUAAAAAAAAACUAUGCCUUCCAGCCAAACCGGUUUGGCUGGAAGGCAUAGUUUUAA